rnacentral:rRNA from 1 species
UACGUAGGUGGCAAGCGUUGUCCGGAAUUACUGGGCGUAAAGCGUGCGCAGGCGGUUAUGUAAGACAGAUGUGAAAUGCCCGGGCUUAACCUGGGAACUGCAUUUGUGACUGCAUGGCUAGAGUUUGGCAGAGGGGGGUAGAAUUCCACGUGUAGCAGUGAAAUGCGUAGAUAUGUGGAGGAACACCCGAUGGCGAAGGCA